rnacentral:rRNA from 1 species
CCUACGGGAGGCAGCAGUGGGGAAUAUUGGGCAAUGGGCGCAAGCCUGACCCAGCAACGCCGCGUGAAGGAAGAAGGCCUUCGGGUUGUAAACUACUUUUAUCAGGGACGAAGCAAGUGACGGUACCUGAUGAACAAGCCACGGCUAACUACGUACCAGCAGCCGCGGUAAUACGUAGGUGGCAAGCGUUAUCCGGAUUUACUGGGUGUAAAGGGCGUGUAGGCGGGAAAGUAAGUCAGAUGUGAAAACCAUGGGCUCAACCUGUGGCCUGCAUUUGAAACUGGUUUUCUUGAGUACUGGAGAGGCAGACGGAAUUCCUGGUGUAGCGGUGAAAUGCGUAGAGAUUAGGAGGAACACCAGUGGCGAAGGCGGUCUGCUGGACAGCAACUGACGCUGAGGCGCGAAAGCGUGGGGAGCAAACAGGAUUAGAUACCCCGGUAGUC